rnacentral:misc_RNA from 1 species
CCAAACUUGGUCAUUUAGAGGAAGUAAAAGUCGUAACAAGGUUUCCGUAGGUGAACCUGCGGAAGGAUCAUUAUUGAACAAACCGGCGGGCUAAGUUGCUGGCCUCCUUGGAGGCAUGUGCACGGUCUGCCAUUGUUUCAUCCUUCUCUUCCACCUGUGCACUUCUGUGGGCCCACUCCAGCGCACGCCGUGUGCUGGACUCUGGUGCCUACGUUUUCACUAUCCACACCAUUGAAUGUUCAGAAUGUAUGUAUCAGGCAUUCGUGCCUAUAAAACCUUAUACAACUUUCAACAACGGAUCUCUUGGUUCUCGCAUCGAUGAAGAACGCAGC